GAAUCUCUACUACCAAGAGGAAAGUCAGCCCUGAGACCCUUUCCACAGGUCAGGUGGAGUGCGGCCUUUGACUUAUAUUCUCCACACCCCUUGAUGUCAUCUAAAUUGCAGCUCCAUCUUACCUGGAUCAGCAGAUGUCCUCAGAGUUCUCAAGUUUAUCCACCUCCUUCAAAGGUGGUCAUCCAAUUCAAUCCCUAAGAAAAACAUAGGCCUUGCAUGGAAAUUCUUAAGAAAUGUCAAAGAGCUAGUCCUGUUGGAAAGGUCAUACUCUCAGGAGCACUUCCCAGUAAAACUUCUGCAGGUGUCCUAUUAUCCCCUGGGUUAUACAGUUUGACAAAAAGUCUGCUGUAAUUCUUAUCUUCCACUGUAAGUAGUGUUUCUUUUCUUUUUCUCUGCCUCAAGAUUUUUCUCUUUAUCUUUGAAUUUCAGCAGUUUUACUACAAUUUUUUUUAUAGCUGUGGCUUUUUUUUAAAAAUUGUAUUUAUCUUGCUUAGGGUUUUCUGGGAUUCUUUGAUUUGUUUUUGCCUUUGAUUUAUUUCAGAAAAUUCUUGACCAUUACCUCUUCAAAUGUUUCUUAUGUUCUCUCUUCUUAUUCUAAGAAUACAAUUAUCGAAUAGAUUAUCUAAAAAUUCUGGAAGAAAACCAAACAAUCUAUUCUUUUUCUCUCAUUUUCCUCUUGCCUUUCAUUUUGGAUAGUUUC